rnacentral:rRNA from 1 species
UACGAAGGGGGCUAGCGUUGCUCGGAAUCACUGGGCGUAAAGCGCACGUAGGCGGCUUUCUAAGUCAGGGGUGAAAUCCUGGAGCUCAACUCCAGAACUGCCUUUGAUACUGGAGAGCUUGAGUCCGGAAGAGGUGAGUGGAACUCCGAGUGUAGAGGUGAAAUUCGUAGAUAUUCGGAAGAACACCAGUGGCGAAGGCGGCUCACUGGUCCGGUACUGACGCUGAGACGCGAAAGCUAGGGGAGCGAACGGG